CAGUAGCCGCGGUAAAACGGAGGAUCCAAGCGUUAUCCGGAAUCAUUGGGUUUAAAGGGUCCGUAGGCGGUCUUGUAAGUCAGUGGUGAAAGCCCAUCGCUCAACGGUGGAACGGCCAUUGAUACUGCAGGACUUGAAUUAUUGGGAAGUAACUAGAAUAUGUAGUGUAGCGGUGAAAUGCUUAGAGAUUACAUGGAAUACCAAUUGCGAAGGCAGGUUACUACCAAUUGAUUGACGCUGAUGGACGAAAGCGUGGGUAGCGAACAGGAUUAGAUACCCCUGUAGUCCCUGUCUCUUUACC
rnacentral:rRNA from 1 species